rnacentral:rRNA from 1 species
CCUACGGGUGGCAGCAGUGGGGAAUAUUGCACAAUGGGGGAAACCCUGAUGCAGCGACGCCGCGUGAGUGAAGAAGUAUUUCGGUAUGUAAAGCUCUAUCAGCAGGGAAGAAACCCACCCUCCGGGGUGGCUGACGGUACCUGACUAAGAAGCCCCGGCUAACUACGUGCCAGCAGCCGCGGUAAUACGUAGGGGGCAAGCGUUAUCCGGAUUUACUGGGUGUAACGGGAGCGUAGGUGGCAAGGCAAGUCAGAUGGGAAAGCCCGGGGCUCAACCCCGGGACUGCAUUGGGAACUGACCCGCUCGAGGGCCGGAGGGGCAGGCGGAAUUCCUAGGGUAGCGGGGAAAUGCGUAGAUAUUAGGAGGAACACCAGUGGCGAAGGCGGCCUGCUGGACGGGGUACUGACGCUGAGGCUCGAAAGCGUGGGGAGCAAACAGGAUUAGAUACCCUGGUAGUC